rnacentral:rRNA from 1 species
UACGAAGGGGGCUAGCGUUGCUCGGAUUGACUGGGCGUAAAGGGCGCGUAGGCGGCAUGACAAGUCACUUGUGAAAUCUUCGGGCUUAACCCGGAACGGCCAAGUGAUACUGUCGCGCUAGAGUGCGGAAGGGGCAAUCGGAAUUCUCGGUGUAGCGGUGAAAUGCGUAGAUAUCGGGAGGAACACCAGUGGCGAAGGCGACUACCUGGCCUGUUCUUGACGCUGAGGCGCGAAAGCUAGGGGAGCAAACGGG